rnacentral:misc_RNA from 1 species
AUUUUACACUUACCCUCCCCUGUGAAAUUUUACCCGGAGGCGUAGCUGGGGGUGUGGCUUAUUGUUCGAUUUGUGGCGCUUGAAAAACCUGAUUUUCUCAGUGAAAAUACANAUCAUCACACGAAGCGCGAAAGCAGGAGAUCAACUAACUAUAAGGUCUAUAACAUCAGUUAAAUAUUAUUCAAUCACAAGAAAUAUCAUGAAGAUCAAUGUGAAAAUCGAAGAGGAAUGGUUUGUCAUUCCGUGUGGUUCGGAUAAGAAGGAGGUAGGAUGGCUCAAAGAAGAAACCGUUAAGCGUUUUAAUAAGUAUUCUGCCUCUCGCUCGACUGCACCGGNGGUAUUCUACUCCAAUGAAUGUGAAUUAAGACUUGCCGAAGCUAAUGGAAUACUAGAUGAUGACGAUUAUUUGCAAGAUGUGCUAAACGAUAAGGAUUUUGUUGUGGUUAAGAAAAAAGAAACUUUUGAUCGAAAAUGCUUGAAGAGGAAAAACCCUAUCUCAGUCAAGCCUAAUAAAAGAAUUCAAGANGAUAAGGAGUCAUCGGUGAAGUAUAUUGCUUUAGAUGGUUGUUCAUUGACAACUGAUGACCUGGUCAAGCUUGGAACAGGAAAAUAUGUCAUUAAGCUAACAGAUNAAUCCAAAGCCAUGGUCAACAAAGGAAGACAACUAUUGGAAGACAUUGUCAAACAAAAUCAANCUGCCUAUGGAGUCAAUACUGGCUUUGGGAAAUUUGCAAACGUUAUCAUAGCGAAAGAUAAUCUAACUGAACUGCAAGAGAAUUUGAUACGCUCCCACGCCAUAGGUACUGGUGAUACACUUACUGUAAACAGAACACGAAUGUUGCUUGCUCUGAGAAUAAAUGUACUCGCGAAAGGGUACAGUGGGAUCUCGGAGAGCACUCUUGAACAAUAUAUUACAGCAUUUAACAAUUCGUUGUUACCCAUGGUUCCUGAACAGGGUACUGUAGGUGCAAGUGGAGACUUGGCACCACUCGCUCACUUGGCANUGGGUAUUGCUUUGGGAGAAGGGAAGAUGUGGAGUCCAAGAAGUGGAUGGGCAGAGGCAAGCCUGGUUCUUGAAGCUCACGGCAUGAAANCAUUAAUUCUGAAGCCAAAAGAGGGUCUUGCUCUAAUCAAUGGUACCCAGCUCAUAACAGCUCUGGGAGCAGAAGCACUGGAACGAGCCCAUGCAAUCGCAAAGCAAGCUGACAUUAUUGCGGCAUUAUCACUGGAAGUUCUCAAGGGAAGUACCAAUGCUUUUGACAUUGAUAUUCAGCAAGUUCGCCCUCACAAAGGUCAGGGAAUAGUUGCAGAGAGAUUGCGCUCGGUGUUGCACUCUGAAUUGCAUCCUUCAGAGAUUGCAGAAAGCCAUCGCUUUUGUAAGCGCGUACAGGAUGCAUAUACUCUCCGCUGUUGUCCUCAGGUUCAUGGUAUAGUGAACGACACAAUCAAUUUUGUACGAGGAAUUCUUACCACAGAGAUGAACAGCGCUACUGAUAACCCUAUCAUACUUGCAGAUCGAGGUGCUAUAAUGUCUUGUGGAAAUUUCCAUGGAGAAUAUCCUGCCAAGGCACUAGACUACCUGGCCAUUGGUGUACAUGAACUUGCAAGCAUGAGCGAGAAACGAAUUGAAAGACUAAUGAACCCUGCGUACAGUGAACUUCCUGCUUUUCUCAGCAAAGACGGCGGCCUUAACUCAGGUCUUAUGAUGAUGCAUUGUNCUGCAGCUUCUCUUGUAUCAGAAAACAAGGUUCUUUGCCANCCUUCAUCUGUGGAUUCGCUCAGCACCUCCGCUGGCCAAGAGGAUCAUGUAUCUAUGGGAGGCUUCUCAGCUAGAAAGGCUCUGAAAGUUGUUGAGCACGUUGAGAAAGUGUUGGCCAUUGAGCUGCUUUCUGCUUGUCAAGGAAUAGAAUUCCUAAGACCCUUGAAGACGACCCAGCCAUUGGAGUCAGUCUACGCACUGGUCCGCUCAGUUUCAAAACCACUAGAUAAGGAUCGAUACAUGGUGCCUGAUAUGAAAGCCGUGACAGAUCUUCUUCUGGAAGGAAAGGUGUGGCAAGCUGCCUUUCCAUUCUACAAGAGUUACCAGCAUCAAUCCUCUAUGGAUCACCUUNAGGACCACAUAUUCCAGUCACCAUCGACAAGUACUAUGUCUUCNGAUGAUAACACAGUCAAUAAGAAACGAAAAACUGAUAGUGUUGCUGUUACCUAGACAAGUGAUUGGAGGGGCCCUGUGGCAAUCUCUAUGGUAACUGCUGUUUAGAUCCGAGGUUAAUUUGAAUUCUAUUUUCUUCAGGAGACUUGAAAAACAAUUUAAAAAAAGAAUAGUUUUACAAAAGUCCUUGGUUAUUACUUACUUUCUAUAAUAACUAAAGUUUUGAAUGUAUGUAGUUGUGUCUUGGAAGUCUAAAGGAAAAAGACAAAAUAUCACUGAUUUGUGGAAAUUAGUCAUAUUUUAUUUUACUCCUCAGAUACUCCUUAUAAAACCCUAGAAUUGCCCAUUUACACAUUUAGUAUUUAUGUAUAAAUGAUAUUAAUGUAUAGUAUUGGUUAUUUUUUAUUUAAGUAUCAAGCCUUAGGUAAGNUUUGUUACACAUUUUAUUUAAAAGGAAUUAAUUUUUUGUUAAAAUUUAAGAUUAUUAUUAAGAGACAGUUAAAUAAUGUGUGUAGGUAAUAAUUAAAAAUGCACNUUAAAGUUAAAGUUAAAAUACGAACGCUAGUGUCUGGCAAUUAUUUAUAGCUCAAUUCUCAUUUAUCUAGUAUUUCAGUUUCCCAUAUUCUCAUUUCUCAUUUAGGCUAUCUGUUGGUUAAUUCUUCGCUAAUGGNACUGUAGGGAUAAAUAAACAGCUCCCUAGAAUAAUUUUUUUUGUUUGAGUUGUAACCAUAAUCAUGUGCUUUGUCAUGAGCAACCAUUAAACAAAGAAAUGAUACUCAAG